AGGACUGUAGUUAAGUAUAACAUUUGGUUUGCAUCCAAAAAGUAUUGAGUAAUUCAAUCUGUCUUA
rnacentral:tRNA from 1 species